UACGUAGGGUGCAAGCGUUAAUCGGAAUUACUGGGCGUAAAGCGUGCGCAGGCGGUUAUGCAAGACAGAUGUGAAAUCCCUGGGCUCAACCUGGGAACUGCAUUUGUGACUGCAUCGCUGGAGUACGGCAGAGGGGGAUGGAAUUCCGCGUGUAGCAGUGAAAUGCGUAGAUAUGCGGAGGAACACCGAUGGCGAAGGCAAUCCCCUGGGCCUGUACUGACGCUCAUGCACGAAAGCGUGGGGAGCAAACAGG
rnacentral:rRNA from 1 species